AGCAAACCCUUCACCCUGCCGUGUUCCCUUCAUGCCAGGCAGGGUUAUUGGUUUUGUGUGA
rnacentral:pre_miRNA from 1 species